GAGGAAUUCGCAGCCGGCGGCGCGGCCGGGCGCGUUCCCUUCCCCUCUCUCCGUUGCCCGGCGAGGGAGCCACAGCGCAGCGGUUGCCAUGGCCACGGGCCGGGCGUGGGGCUGGGGGACCAGGGGCCGCUGAGCCUCGAUCACCUUGUCCUGCUCGAGCCAGGUUGGCAUGGACUGGAAGAACCCCGCGGCGGCGGGCGGGAGGUGCUGGGGCCAGGGGAGGCCCCGAGGGACCCCGCCGCCCGGUCUGCGCCCUGAUCCCGCAGGGUCCUGUGGAAAUGCGGUGUCUGCCUCCCCGCCUCCUGCGCUCACACAUGCAGGCCUGGGGCCUGCGGGUCCCGGGGCUCUGAGCCUGCACAGCCCACGGGCCGCAGCCGCAGGCCCCGCACUGGUAGCUUAGGUGGACACGGAGGCUGAGGGGGAGUUUCCAAGGGGCCUGGCCUCACGCUCUGCCCGUCACAGCCGCCACCCCUCACCGGCCCUCCACCCACCCCUAACUCCUUAACCUCUCCCGGCCUCGGUUUCCUCACCUAUUAACUAGAGAUUAGUCAUAGCUACCAUCCAGGCUUGUUAUAUUAAAAUAGAAUAAUUAUGUAAUGUGCCGUGUGCACUCCAAACGCGGUCCUCUUUCCCUGUCCCACACCUCCUUCCUCCUGCAUCAGGCCUGGGGAGGGGGGCGUGCCGAUGUCACCCCCAACCCCCAGGCCUAGAGUCCUGGACACAUGGACGCCCCUGCCAGAGCUCCCCUCCCCGCGCUUGGGGUUACUUUGAACCCCGCCUCCUACAAGAGGAUGGUCCAGCCUAUUGUCGGAACCUGCAGGAAUCCCAGGCUGCGACCCAAGAAUAUUAGCGGAGGCCCAGCCUGGCUGGGGCUCUGCAAGUCCGACCUGGGUGCCCCAGAGAGCUGCUCCGGGAAAGACGUUUACCUGCUGCCCAGAGCUGGGACUGCAGACCCUGAUUGGCGAGGGCUUGGAGAGUAGCUGAGAACCUUCCCUUCAGCUACUGAAGACCAGACAGGGCUUUCUGUAUCACGCUGCCUGACGAUGAUGAGGGUGCAGUGACUAAGAGUGCAGAUGAAAGGCCCAGCUCUCCAACCAGGUGGAUGGAUUUGCAAGGAGCUUCUAUCUGGGCGUGGUGGCUCAUGCCUGUAAUCCCAGCACUUUGGGAGGCUGAGGCGAGCGAACCACCUGAGGGUGGGAGUUCAAGACCAGCCUGACCAACAUGGAGAAACCCCAUCUCUACUAAAAAUACAAAAUUAGCCGGG
rnacentral:lncRNA from 1 species